rnacentral:lncRNA from 1 species
UUUAACACCCUGUAAUUAAAAAAUGGACAAUGCCCUUAACUGAAACCUAUACCAAAAAAUGUGCGAUCUUUGAUGUUAGGAUCUCAAAUAGGGGCUGAUUCUUUGUUUUCUAAAGGAGCUCUGACACCGGUUCAAUAAAAAACUUAAACAUGAGCAAAAAAGGAAUAGAAUAAUUAAAUGAGGCGCAAAGAGGUCCACUUACCAAUUCAAUCCCUGCAUUUGGUCUUCAAGAGGGCCCUCAGCUGCAUUUAACACUGCACCAAGUCCAUACACGAAAAAAGCCUUACCAGCUAGGCUUUUACACCGGCAAACGAGCGAGCCGUUGGUUGAGUGGCAACUUACGAGCUGUUGAUUGUAGAACAACUUGCGAGCCAUUUAUUGUAGAGGCACUAGCUUCUCUUACUUUUUGACGAACACUACUAGGCUCCAGUUUUUGCACUCAUUAAAGCAAACCUCUUUUCUAUCGCGAUAAAAGGCAAAAUAACUAGAGUUGGGACUAUUUGCCUUCCUCGUGUAAAUAAGUUAAUUCAAA